rnacentral:misc_RNA from 1 species
GUUCAUAGUUCUUUGUUUCCUGCAAAUUUCCAGUAAAGUAACGGUUCACUUUUAGUUCUAUUUUUCAAUUGCCCUGUUGGUCUUUUUUGGAAGAUGCAUCAUGAGCAAGGAAAAUUCAUUUCAGUUAUAAUUGAAUUAUAGUCUCCUAGACUAUUUCUACUUUAUAUUCUGGGAUAGGUUUUGCUUAGAGACCCACUGCACAAUAAUGUAAUUCCUAUUGUUGAGGAACGGUUGCCUCUUGUAAUGUAAAUGUUACAAGCCAAUUCAAGGUGAAGAAGAGGAGCGUCCUGUGAUGCUAAAAGAUGUCGAUACAGGCGAAGAAAAUGCAUUGGAAGUUGCACUAGAAGCCAUUUGUAGUUUGUAAGAUGCGUGUACUCGAGAACUGGAGACCGAUGCUUAUCCUGCUUUAGACGAGCUGACCUCCAAGAUUAGCUGUCGUAAUCUGGAUCAGGUGUGUAAGCUGAAGAGUUCCAUGACAAGGUUGACAAAUCGUGUUCAAGAGCUCAAUAAUCAUCGGCAUCAACUCAUUCAGGUGGUCAUCCUCACAAGCAUAAUUUGUGCAAGACUUUUCGCAUCUAUAUAUAAUUUCAUAUGCUCGGCACGAAGAUCUUGUCUUGUCUUGAAUGGAUAUACAUGUGUAUAAAACCAGCCAGAAGGAGAUAUAGAUCAUAAAUCUUGUAAUAUUACUCCCAAGUUCUUUACAUUGGUGGCUUUGGGAACGUGUUCAAGGACUUGAUCAUCAAUUCAUGUGCCAAAACCAAAUAAGUAGAAAGCUUAGGCAUUGAAUUUAAUUAGAAAGUGGGUGCCACAGGCAUUAAUUUGUUAGCUAGCAGCAUGGGUUAAUAAAAGCAUAGUGAGAUGGGGCUUUAGGUGUGACCAUGGGAAGGUGAGAUUGAAUUGAUGAAGUGUGUCCCAGUGCAUUUGACAUUAACAACUAAUGUGGCCUACUGCUGGGGCCGAUUGAAUUAGCUUCCAUUUGUUAGAAGCACCUCUGAAAAGGAGAAGCACGCGGUCAUUGAUUGCUAGCAUCUCAUCUGAUCAUCUCUGAAGCAUUUUUUUCAACAAUUUGGAUCAUUUUCUUGUUCCCCAUUUUCCCUUAAAGCAACUCAUUUUGGUCCCAAAUGACUGCUUUGGUGGGUUCAUGCAAAUAAUUAUUUUUUUUUAAGUAUAGAACAAUUAUCAAUUAUUUUGUCCAUGAGGAGUGAGAAAUUAUUAGAUGUAUUCAUAAACAUGUACUAUUUUUAAUAAUUAUACGAGA